UACGGGGGGGGCAAGCGUUGUUCGGAAUUACUGGGCGUAAAGCGUGUGUAGGCGGUCCGCUAAGUCGGGUGUGAAAGCCCUGGGCUCAACCCAGGAAGUGCACUCGAAACUGGCGGGCUCGAGUACCGGAGAGGUUGGUGGAAUUCUCGGUGUAGAGGUGAAAUUCGUAGAUAUCGAGAGGAACACCGGUGGCGAAGGCGGCCAACUGGACGGAUACUGACGCUGAGACACGAAAGCGUGGGGAGCAAACAGG
rnacentral:rRNA from 1 species